UUUAAGUGCAACCGUAAAUUUCCGUGCUCAACUUUGACCGUCUGUCUUAUUUGAAAAAAAUUUUAUAAUUAGUAUUUUUAUUAUCAUGAGAUGAUAAAACAUGAAUAAGAUGGACGGUCAAAUUUAUACAGGGAAAUCAUGGCUGCACCUAAA
rfam:Oryza meridionalis cultivar OR44 (W2112) chromosome 2, whole genome shotgun sequence.